GGGGAUAUAGCUCAGUGGUAGAGCAUUCGACUGCAGAUCGAGAGGCCCUGGUUUGAACCCGGGUGUCCCCU
rnacentral:tRNA from 1 species